rnacentral:lncRNA from 1 species
AACUUUACAACCUAAAAUCCACUUAAAACUGUAAAUUUGUUCUCCAAUCCGAUCACUAGACAAACCAAAAACAGAUAAUCUCAUAUACUAGAUGCAAUCCACACAAAAAAAAAACAUAAAAUUUAAGAUCGUAAAAUAUCUAUAUCCAUAUAAUUACUCGGACUAUUAAAAACAUUAGAUCUAACAACUAGAAAUGAAAUUAUUUAAAAAAAAAA